UUGUCCGAUUGAUUGAAUUUUUUCAUUUUGGUAAAUAGAAAAUGGCGCAAAGUUUCGAUGUAUCAGACUUUUCUCUUUUCUCUUAUAUUGGAUAAUUCAGGGUUGGGCCGGGAAUAGGCCCAUCGCACAAAAUUUUGGGCUUUGAUUUUUAAUUCGAAUAUUCGAAUAUAUGUAAUGAAUCUCAUCCAUGGGUUCGAGUAUGAUACCGGGAACACAGGUAACCAGAUCAACCGAAUAUAUGUAAUGAAUCUCAUUCAGGUUUAUGGUCAGAUUCAUCUCGUUAUUGGUUCCGGGUGAAACUGAAGGUGGACGGUCCAGGGGUGUUGCCGGCGAAGGGGGAUGAGACGUGAGAGGAGCUAAAAACACAGAAAUUGGAAAGGGAGAAGAUCAAAAUCAAAUCUGCAAUUCCCAUUAUCCACUACCUCGAAAAGACAGAAAGGAAAACUUAUGAUUCACAUUCGGGCCUCGUACCUUAGCGCAGUCUGAUUGUGUCGUUGUUCUUCAUUGCUCUCUCGUCUGCAAGUAGGCAGUGAUACACAGAGCCCAUGGAGUUGAGGGAGGAAAAGAAGAAUGUGGUACUUGGACAUAUAACUUGUUAAGACUGAGCAUCAAAAGGGAAAUUCAUCCCCAUCUACCACAUUUUCCAUGUGAGGUUUGGACAGCUAGCUUCCCCGUGGAACUUUUGUAAUUUUCUUCUCUCCAUCCUCUCUGAAUUUUUCUACCAAAAAAAAAAAGUCCUCACUGAAUUCAAUUUCCA